rnacentral:rRNA from 1 species
GACGAACGCUGGCGGCGUGCUUAACACAUGCAAGUCGAACGGAAAGGCCCUGCUUUUGUGGGGUGCUCGCGUGGCGAACGGGUGAGUAACAUGUGAGUAACCUGCCCUUGACUUUGGGAUAACUUCAGGAAACUGGGGCUAAUACCUGAUAGGAGCUCCCGCUGCAUGGUGGGGGUUGGAAAGUUUCGGCGGUUGGGGAUGGACUCGCGGCUUAUCAGCUUGUUGGUGGGGUAGUGGCUUACCAAGGCUUUGACGGGUAGCCGGCCUGAGAGGGUGACCGGCCACAUUGGGACUGAGAUACGGCCCAGACUCCUACGGGAGGCAGCAGUGGGGAAUAUUGCACAAUGGGCGGAAGCCUGAUGCAGAAACGCCGCGUGCGGGAUGACGGCCUUCGGGUUGUAAACCGCUUUAGCCUGUGACGAAGCGUGAGUGACGGUAAUGGGUAAAGAAGCACCGGCUAACUACGUG